GGGUUGUGAGGUUAAGCGACUAAGCGUACACGGUGGAUGCCCUGGCAGUCAGAGGCGAUGAAGGACGUGCUAAUCUGCGAUAAGCGUCGGUAAGGUGAUAUGAACCGUUAUAACCGGCGAUUUCCGAAUGGGGAAACCCAGUGUGAUUCGUCACACUAUCAUUAACUGAAUCCAUAGGUUAAUGAGGCGAACCGGGGGAACUGAAACAUCUAAGUACCCCGAGGAAAAGAAAUCAACCGAGAUUCCCCCAGUAGCGGCGAGCGAACGGGGAGCAGCCCAGAGCCUGAAUCAGUGUGUGUGUUAGUGGAAGCGUCUGGAAAGGCGUGCGAUACAGGGUGACAGCCCCGUACACAAAAAUGCACAUACUGUGAGCUCGAUGAGUAGGGCGGGACACGUGGUAUCCUGUCUGAAUAUGGGGGGACCAUCCUCCAAGGCUAAAUACUCCUGACUGACCGAUAGUGAACCAGUACCGUGAGGGAAAGGCGAAAAGAACCCCGGCGAGGGGAGUGAAAAAGAACCUGAAACCGUGUACGUACAAGCAGUGGGAGCACGCUUAGGCGUGUGACUGCGUACCUUUUGUAUAAUGGGUCAGCGACUUAUAUUCUGUAGCAAGGUUAACCGAAUAGGGGAGCCGAAGGGAAACCGAGUCUUAACUGGGCGUUAAGUUGCAGGGUAUAGACCCGAAACCCGGUGAUCUAGCCAUGGGCAGGUUGAAGGUUGGGUAACACUAACUGGAGGACCGAACCGACUAAUGUUGAAAAAUUAGCGGAUGACUUGUGGCUGGGGGUGAAAGGCCAAUCAAACCGGGAGAUAGCUGGUUCUCCCCGAAAGCUAUUUAGGUAGCGCCUCGUGAAUUCAUCUCCGGGGGUAGAGCACUGUUUCGGCAAGGGGGUCAUCCCGACUUACCAACCCGAUGCAAACUGCGAAUACCGGAGAAUGUUAUCACGGGAGACACACGGCGGGUGCUAACGUCCGUCGUGAAGAGGGAAACAACCCAGACCGCCAGCUAAGGUCCCAAAGUCAUGGUUAAGUGGGAAACGAUGUGGGAAGGCCCAGACAGCCAGGAUGUUGGCUUAGAAGCAGCCAUCAUUUAAAGAAAGCGUAAUAGCUCACUGGUCGAGUCGGCCUGCGCGGAAGAUGUAACGGGGCUAAACCAUGCACCGAAGCUGCGGCAGCGACGCUUAUGCGUUGUUGGGUAGGGGAGCGUUCUGUAAGCCUGUGAAGGUGUGCUGUGAGGUAUGCUGGAGGUAUCAGAAGUGCGAAUGCUGACAUAAGUAACGAUAAAGCGGGUGAAAAGCCCGCUCGCCGGAAGACCAAGGGUUCCUGUCCAACGUUAAUCGGGGCAGGGUGAGUCGACCCCUAAGGCGAGGCCGAAAGGCGUAGUCGAUGGGAAACAGGUUAAUAUUCCUGUACUUGGUGUUACUGCGAAGGGGGGACGGAGAAGGCUAUGUUGGCCGGGCGACGGUUGUCCCGGUUUAAGCGUGUAGGCUGGUUUUCCAGGCAAAUCCGGAAAAUCAAGGCCGAGGCGUGAUGACGAGGCACUACGGUGCUGAAGCAACAAAUGCCCUGCUUCCAGGAAAAGCCUCUAAGCAUCAGGUAACAUCAAAUCGUACCCCAAACCGACACAGGUGGUCAGGUAGAGAAUACCAAGGCGCUUGAGAGAACUCGGGUGAAGGAACUAGGCAAAAUGGUGCCGUAACUUCGGGAGAAGGCACGCUGAUACGUAGGUGAAGCGACUUGCUCGUGGAGCUGAAAUCAGUCGAAGAUACCAGCUGGCUGCAACUGUUUAUUAAAAACACAGCACUGUGCAAACACGAAAGUGGACGUAUACGGUGUGACGCCUGCCCGGUGCCGGAAGGUUAAUUGAUGGGGUUAGCGCAAGCGAAGCUCUUGAUCGAAGCCCCGGUAAACGGCGGCCGUAACUAUAACGGUCCUAAGGUAGCGAAAUUCCUUGUCGGGUAAGUUCCGACCUGCACGAAUGGCGUAAUGAUGGCCAGGCUGUCUCCACCCGAGACUCAGUGAAAUUGAACUCGCUGUGAAGAUGCAGUGUACCCGCGGCAAGACGGAAAGACCCCGUGAACCUUUACUAUAGCUUGACACUGAACAUUGAGCCUUGAUGUGUAGGAUAGGUGGGAGGCUUUGAAGUGUGGACGCCAGUCUGCAUGGAGCCGACCUUGAAAUACCACCCUUUAAUGUUUGAUGUUCUAACGUGGACCCGUGAUCCGGGUUGCGGACAGUGUCUGGUGGGUAGUUUGACUGGGGCGGUCUCCUCCUAAAGAGUAACGGAGGAGCACGAAGGUUGGCUAAUCCUGGUCGGACAUCAGGAGGUUAGUGCAAUGGCAUAAGCCAGCUUGACUGCGAGCGUGACGGCGCGAGCAGGUGCGAAAGCAGGUCAUAGUGAUCCGGUGGUUCUGAAUGGAAGGGCCAUCGCUCAACGGAUAAAAGGUACUCCGGGGAUAACAGGCUGAUACCGCCCAAGAGUUCAUAUCGACGGCGGUGUUUGGCACCUCGAUGUCGGCUCAUCACAUCCUGGGGCUGAAGUAGGUCCCAAGGGUAUGGCUGUUCGCCAUUUAAAGUGGUACGCGAGCUGGGUUUAGAACGUCGUGAGACAGUUCGGUCCCUAUCUGCCGUGGGCGCUGGAGAACUGAGGGGGGCUGCUCCUAGUACGAGAGGACCGGAGUGGACGCAUCACUGGUGUUCGGGUUGUCAUGCCAAUGGCACUGCCCGGUAGCUAAAUGCGGAAGAGAUA
rnacentral:rRNA from 1 species